rnacentral:snRNA from 1 species
AUAGUUACCUGGCAGGGGAGAUACCAUGAUCAUGAAGGUGGGUUUGCCCAGGACGAGGGUGGUUUUCCCAGGAUGAGGCUCGCCCAUUGCACUCCGGGUGUGCUGACCCCUGCAGUUUCCCGAAAUGUGGGAAACUCGACUGCAUAGUUUCUGGUAGUGGGGGACUGCAUUCGCACUAUCCCGUU